GCAUUCCUGGAAUACCUACUUCACUCCCUCUACUAUCAAAAUGAGACUACAUGGUUUUAGGUCACCUACAUGAUGAGACCUGAUGGCCAGACAGCCAAAAAAGUAGUGGUUGAAGUUCACUUCUUCUCUGCUAUUAGUGUUGAAAAUUUUCCUAUAGCCACCUUUCAGUUUCCCACAAGGCUUUUAUACACUCAGUUAUUUUUGAGAAAGCUGUCUCUAUCAAAUUUUCUUGAGUCUAUUCUUAAAAUAUCAGAGUGAAGGUGAUUGAGAAAGUGAUCAUUUAGGCUUUUCCUUCAGAAUCCAGGGCUAAUAAUUUUCAUUCCUCUGGUGUUUUUUGAGUAAGGUGUGCCAUUAACGAUUCCGCAACUGGAGUGAAAUGAUCCCGGUAAUUUAUGGUAUUUUGGUAAGUCCUGACAUCAUGGUGUUACCAUUUAAGUUAUUAAUUUCCAGCCUUUUAAACAGAUAAUCUACUGAAGCCGGUUGUUUAUGCUAUAAGCUUGUUGACUUCUAUGGCAGAGGAGAGGAAGCCUGAAUGUUUGAGCCUGGUUAUGAGCGUAAAUUGCAUAUUUGGGUGCCUGCACCUGAGAGUUCACAGUUUCUUCUUUCUGACAAGAGUCUCUCCUGAUCCGCUUUUUCCCAAGAAGAGAUGUUUCUAAAUUGUUUUAGUUAUCAUCCUGCACAUAAAAUACAGCUAUGCUGAACUUACCUUCCAGUAUUUGUCUCACCUUCUACUUGCUGAUUUUUUCAUUUGUAUUUCAUGUGAGCAGGGCAGAAAAUAACCAGAUGAGGUUUUGUUCCCAUUGUUCUCAGCAUGUUUUUCUCUCACCUUUAUCUCAAGGAGCAUGGACCUGAUCUUAAUUCUUCAUGUAUUUCUAGAGACUACAUCAGCUUCCCUGACAGUGACAGAGGUCAGUGUGUACACAGGUGACAACCCAGCAAACUGACAUUACAAUAGGUUUCAAAAGGAUUUUCUGAUCCAUACCAGCUGCAACAGUCCUGGGAGUGACCACGUUCACUAUGAGGAUAACCACAGCUUGUCCUGGAAAGGGAGAGUUCUAAGUGCAAAUCCAGUCACCCCUGUAAGAGAAACGAUGGACCAUUCUGACUGUCCUCAGGAGACCAGAAAUGCACUCCUGGACUCCUGGACACCAGAAAUGGACUCCAGACAUGCAGGAGAGACACCCUCCUCUGCAGACCAGAGAGAGCAGAAUGGGAGACAGAGGCAUAGCUGGCUGGAGACGGGAAUUAAAAUAUGCCUUUCAGGAAUGAGGAAACUGAGGAAGAGGAGCUAAACACCUUCAUAUGGUUCACAGAGAUUUGGUCACAGCAGAAGUUGUUGGAUUCAGGAGGCUUCACCACCCCCAUCUCCACUCACACCACAAGCCCACAGCUUCCCCUCUUGGUGUGACUGCAAUACAAAUGAUUCCUUCUCUUAUGUGCUUGCCAAGACCUGGGGCAGCAGCAUCAUAUUCUCAAGUAUGCCAGUGGAUGUGGUCAUUCCACUGUCAAGCCCAGCUCUUCCAUAAGUCCUUAACUCGUAUGGAGAGCUGCCUCUGACAGAUGAUCAGGCUGAAGGUCUGGCAGACAUCCGGAAGCACAGGAGCUCAUAACAGUUGUGGAUGGCACAAACUGACAAGGGGACUUCACCUCCCUUUAACCCUACUGCAGGUCUCCCAUGUGCAGGACAAACUCCAUGAAAGCUGCAGAGUGACAGCCUACCAGCACUUGCUAGCAACUCCACCUGACAGCAUGUAAGCACAAGAUAUUGAAAACAGAGUGACACGAGGGAGUAAUGCUGCAUCUCAGCAUAGGCUCCCAGGCACUGCCCUCUCAAACAAAGGUAGUUGUGAAAACCACGGGUUUUUGGGAUAAACUCUUUGGAGAUGCUUAUUAAACAGAACAGAAUAAAACAGAUGUUGCUCUUAGUCCAACUUUUAUUAUGUUUACAUAAUGCUAAGUCAG